rnacentral:rRNA from 1 species
AUAAUAAAAAUAAAGGAAUUAAUAACCAUUAUAUAAUGGCGGUCCUAAUAAAUUAAAGAAACUCGCUUAAUAAUCGUAAAUACCCGAUAAUUUUCACUUUAUCUAACAGUUUAUAUACCUCCGUAUAGAGAUGAACAAUUAAUCAACUCAAUACAUAAAAAUAUCUAAAAUCAGGUCAAGGUGUAACCUAUGAUAAUGGUAAAGUAAGUUACUCUAAAUAAAAUUAAAGGAAAAUAUACUAACAGUUAGUUAGAAAAAGAAUUUAAUCGUACAAUCUAAUUAAAAAUUAGAAUAGAUAAAAAUAUAAAGACGC